AGAGCAGAAGGUGGACAGACUGGUUUAGUAAACCAGGAAACCUGUUGGUGUGAAACAAACAGCUGCUGGCCAGAAACGCGUCAUCAUUUUGAAUCAUGAAGUUUCCUGUGCUGCUGCUCUGCUCUGUGCUGCUGCUCUCCAUCUCAGGUCUGUCUCUUUUUAAAGGUUUAUUUAUCACAUGUUUAAGCUAAAGAGUCAAAACUCUUUACUGGCCGAAGUACCAACUUGUAAAACUCCAAACUGAUUGAACCUCAAACUGACCACAGUUACUCUGCUGUCACUGUGAUGAUUAAUCUUGGAACAGAGCUCAGAUUAAAUCUGUGUUUACCAUAUAAGAAUCACAGAAGUAGGCCAGUGGAAAAAACUUUUUUGGACUGUAGGAUUCAUUAAGGGAAUUAUUCAUUCAUGGACAUGUUGAUUUAUGAUGAAUAGAGUGUAAACACAGAUUAGUGUGUUUAUUUUUGUUUGCUUUAACAUGUUUUUUGUUUUUUACAGACAGACUGUGACAUUAAUGUGUUAACUAUGAACUGUUUCUGACUAUGAUCUAAGUAUGCAUUACUGGACUCCUUUAAUCAGGACUGAAAUUCUAUCUUUAUAAGGGAACAGGCUGUGAGACGAAAUAGUUCCUCUUUCACAGGUUGUCAACCUCACUUCAGGUCCUUUUUACAGAGACAGGAAAGAUGCAGAGUGAUGAUCUGCUGGGUCACAUUUCUGAGCCAAACACUGUGACAUCUUCCCAUUGUUCUCUAACGAAUGUGUUUGUGUGUCUUCAGAGAUACAGGCUGAUAUUAGAUUAUUUUUUAAUCCAGUUUUCUCAUAGAGGAGGCUGUGGUUUUUUCUCUCAGUCCAUGUGACUGUUUUACAGCAAUAAAACAUAGCUUUAAGCUCCACCACAGUGAGCAAUAAUCAUUGGAGGACAGUAAAGAAUUGUAAUAAGUCUCCUCAAAGAAUAAUACUCCAGCGAAUACUCAAAAAUGGACUUGGCCAUGACCUACAUUAACACACAACAGGUGGAUAUUUUUUCCCACCUUAUUGUUCACAGCUUGUAACCUUAGAGCCUUGCUUCUCUUCACACACCUGACUGUUGUCUACUGUAUUAUUUAGAAAAUUUAAAAAAAUUAGACAGGUCCCUUUUAAAGCUUUAAAUUCCUUCUCUGACAGAAAAGCCACACCUGCCACAUUCAUCUACAGAUUAUGACUGAGAUAGGAGUCACUCUCUGUUCAAUUGAAUCUCAUGUGUAAUGUGUGUACGUGCGUGUGUCUGUGUGUGUGUGUGUGUGUGUGUGUGUGUGUGUGUGUGUGUGUGUGUGUGUGUGUGUGUGUGUGUGUGUGUGUGUGUAGUCCUGUCUCAGGAAAAUGAGGGUCCACCUGAUGGACAAGGAGACUCUGCUAAACCCAAGGCGGUAAGACUCAGAAACACACACAUUAACACACUAAUACUCAUGCAGAGCUCGGAGGAGUGGUGUGUUUCCGUUGAUGUUAAGUUGUAAACAUGAUUUCGUCACUUCUAAACCUUCUGGGGUGAAUUUACCAAGAACAGAGUGGAGUUGCCUUUUUUACCAUGAGUUGUGCAUCAUUUGCCUUUGCUCUGAGCUCCAUCUCCACCACUCAUGUACAUUUGUGCAGAAAUUAAAGGCUACAAAUUUAUUGAUGAGAUGUGUGUGUGUGUUUUUGCGUGUGUGUGUGCGUGUGUGUUUUAUCCAGGCCCAUUGUGAGAAAUACAACUUACCUAUCUGCAAUCGGGAUCUUAACCCUGUUUGCGGUGAUGAUGGCGUAACCUACAGUAACGAGUGUACACUCUGUGUUCACAACUUGUAAGAUGUGCACACACACACACACACACACACACACACACACACACACACACACACACACACACACACACACACACACACACACAAAUCUGCUCUUUCAAUCCUUUGUGAGACUUUGUGAGAUUCUGGAUACAUGAUUUUGGCCAGUAUGCAGUAUGUCUCCAGAAAAUAAAAAGAGGCUGAGAGAGGAACCCUGAAGAACACCAUACUGAGGUUUAUCAGAGAGACAGAAAAACUCCUGUCAGAGAUAUAUUUACAGUCUAUAGCUCCCACACUCUGAUUUCUCAAAGACUAUUUUUAUAAUUAUCGUAUUAACUCCACACACACACACACACACACAUUUCAAAUGUAAAAACUAACUUCUUGAAUAUUCUGGGUUUUUUCUUUGUUUGUUUUUCUACAGGGAGAAGAAGGACAAUGUGAAAAUCCUGAAAAAAAGGAACUGUAGCGAUUAACUGCUGUGUGCCACACGCAUGCACACACAUACUGAAUAAAGUCUCAUACUGAUUCCCUCACACCCUCUGUCUGUGUGUUCAUUUCACUUGAACUCAGAAGAUAAAGCAGAGUCUGAAACACUGAUCUCCAUGUUUGGAGCUCAAACACCUACCUCAUGUUUUUACCUGCUCAGACCCAACAGUAAAUUAAUGAAUAACUCUGAGAAACAUCAAAACACUGCGCUGUAUUAGAUGUAUCCCUGAGAUCUCUGGGAUGCAUGUAAACAGACAGCAUAUGGUGGCCCAGAAGGUCAAUGCAAGAAAUUUUUCAGGAAGGCAAUGAGGAGAUAUUUUGGAUAAAGAACAGAAAACAUUUAAUUGUGUGAAAAAAUAUAUCCUAACACCCACAAACAUUUUACAUAACAAAACAACAAACGUUAACAAAAUGUGUACUGGAAAACACACAAAGAAUAAAGAAAAUAUUAAAAUGUUUAAGAAAAACAUUUUGAAAACAAAAAUAUUUUGGAAACAGGUAUUUUCAAAACAUAAGAGAACUUUGAUAAAGGAAAAAAUAUUCUAAAACCAUCAAAAAUUGUUUAUAAAAUGCACAUUUUGGAACCAUGACAAUAUUUUGAAAACACAAAUACAUUUGUAAACACAAAAAUAUUUUAAAAAACAAAAAUAGUUAUGAUAUAAAUUUAUAUAUAUAUAUAUUACAUAAAUAUGUUAUAUAAAAUUUAUAUAAAAUAUAAUUUUUUUAUUUUAUGAAAAAAUUCUCUUACCUAAAAAUGUUCUGCUCUCAAAAUGUUUUGCUGCCAAAGGGGUAGGGGUAGGGCCAAACCACUUGAUUGUGAUGGGACAAAAUUGAGGUGCUGAAGUAUUUAACAUUUCUGUAUUUUCAAAAUAUAUUUGCUUUUUAAAUUAUUAUUAUUAUUAUUAUUUUAAUUAGUGUUGAUCCGUGGUUUAAAAAUCGCUUUUUAUACAAAGUACUAGGGCCAAAAGUCUGUUGAUCCUAGAGAAUUCUCAGAUAUUAACCCAUUCAGACAGCACAUUUACAUGUUGUUCAAACGUUAGGAUUUUUGCCUUAGUUGGACUGGGACUGGACCUCUGGUAUUUUGGCCUCCUGUAUGGAAUAGAUAAUUCACAAAUCUAAAGUUGAUACAACUCUAUAGCUCAUGGAACUAAUAAUAAUCUAGGUUGGCCUGCUCCUGCAGCCCCACGACCAUGAGAUUGUAAGCAAGGCUGUCUUGCAGGAGCCCGAACUAUCUGUCUGUUGGAACAUUUAAUCUCUGCCAGGGUCAAGACGAACCUAAACAAAGUGUCGUGGGGCAGACAUGUCAUCAUGAGGGGCCUUCUGGAGAAUUCACAUACACAUACACACACACACACACACACACACACACACACACACACACACACACACACACACACACACACACACACACACACACACACACACACACACACACACACACACACACACACACACACACACACACACACACACUCACACAGGAUAAAAGGGAGUAGAAGAAAAGCUAGGGAGGCUUCCUUCGGUCUUGGUCGAGACUCUGUUUGUCAUCUGUACUGAUUUCAACAUCUGUACUAUGAAAGACGCCCCAGGCUGUUCUUCAGAUCUCAUCCUGUCUCCUGUGCACUGUUUUACUAAGUUUAUGCUGGACUUUCUACAACAUUUGCCUCUGCUCUGAGCUCCAUCUCCACCACUCAUGUACAUUUGUGUAGUAAUUAAAGGCUACAAAUGUAUUUAUGAGAUGCGUGUGUGCGUUUUUGCGUGUGUUUUUGUGUAUGUGUUUUUGUGUUUUAUCCAGGUGCAUUGUGAGAAAUACAAUUUACCUUACUGCCAUCAGGAUUAUAACCCUGUUUGUGGUGAUGAUGGCAAAACCUACAGUAACGAGUGUACACUCUGUUUUCGCAACUUGUAAGAUGUGCACUCCAUGUUUGGAGCUCGACCACCAACCUCAUGUUUUUACCUGUUCAGACCCAACAGUAAAUUAAUGAAUAACUCUGAGAAACAUCAAAACACUGCGCUGUUAGGAUAAAAUAUUACCUUACACCCACAAACAUUUUACAUAACAAAACAACAAAUGUUAACAAAAUGUGUAUUGGAAAACACACAAAGAAUAAAGAAAAUAUUAAAAUGUUUAAGAAAAACAAAAACAUUUUGAAAACAAAAAUAUUUUGGAAACAGAUAUUUUCAAAACACAUGAGAACUUUGAUAAAGGAAAUAAUAUUAUAAAACCAAUAAAAUUGUUUAUAAAAUGCAAAUUUUGGAACCAUGAAAAUAUUUUGUAAACACAAAUAAAUUUGAAAAUACAAAAAUAUUUUAAAAAACAAAAAUACUUAUGAGAAAACUCAAUAAUACUUAAGAGUAUAAAAAAAUUAUCUUACCUAAAUAUGUUCUGCUCUCAAAAACUUUUGCUGCCAAAGGGGUAGGGGUAGGGCCAAACCACUUGAUUGUGAUGGGACAAAAUUGAGGUGCUGAAGUAUUUAACAUUUUUGUAUUUUCAAAAUAUAUUUGCUUUUUUAAUUAUAUAUAUAUUUCCUCAAAUUAGUGUUGAUCCGUGGUUUAAAAAUCGGUCUGCUUUUUAUACAAAGUACGAGGGCCAAAAGUCUGUUGAUCCUGGAGAAUUCUCAGAUAUUAACCCAUUCAGACAGCACAUUUACAUGUUGUUCAAAAGUUAGGGUUUUUGCCUUAGUUGGACUGGGACUGGACCACUGUCAUAUGUUUUUGUGUAACUGUAGCCUGGUACUUUUGAAAAGUCAUCAGUGAAAAAAAAAGGUGCAGCCUGUCUCGGAUCAAUGUGAAAAUGCAUUUUUAAAACUGUAACAAAACAAAGUCCAACCACAGUAUGAAGAAACUGAAAAGAAACAAACUAUAAAGUCAGUUGAACAGAGAAGAAGAAGACGAAGGUAUAUAAUAUAUAAUAUACCCCUCAGAGCAGGUGUACAUUAGUUUUACUUUAAAUACAUGCUAUAUGAUCUUUGUCUGUUUUUAAGGUUUAUAAAAUAAAGGGUGUCACAUUUAUUUAUUUACCACUAACCCUAACCAAUAACAAUGUAAUCAACAAAUUAUUAAAAGUGUUUCAUAGUUUUAUUAAAAGGUCUUUAUACCCAGCAUAAUUUAAAAUGAUUAAAUUCUGGAAGUCGUCAAGCUUCCUGUGUUUAUCUAAAGCAAUGUUUUUACAUGCAUAUCAAUCACGUUUAACAUAACUGUAAUAUAUGGUGUCAUCUCUCCUGUUUAAGCUUCUUUGAACCGGCUUUCUACUUGUUCUUCGAUUUUACUGAUGACUUUUAAAGCUCCCCAUUGCUUUUUUUCAGCUAGAACAUCUGAUAGUGCUGUUUGAGCUGACACAUACAAGAUCCAUCUGCUGAGAUCUGUGCCUUAGCAGUGAAGGAUCAAAACUCUCAUGAAUCAGUCUGCCAAAGGGGAUCAGGUCUGCUUGGGAACUCAUCUCUUAAAUUUUCCUGAACACUUUUAUUUGUGAGUCAGUCCUGAUCUUACACAAUAUUGGGGUCUAUCAAAUUUAUCUCCUACAGUUCUGUUGUAUUUUGCUGUCUGCGUUGUGCACUGUAUAUGGGAUUUUGAUGGUCGAUAAAGUGAAGUUUAUCAUUAUAUAUAAUAAUCAGAAGGAUAUUAGUGUUAGAUUUAAAAAAAACGGAUUCCCGAUGACGAACAUCAGUACUCUGAUCAGACGCAACGACGGUCUUUGUAACCACUAAGGGGCACUGCUGCACAGGAAACUCCGUAAGUCUUAAUAUACAAGCAUGUAGUUCCUGCUGUGGGCCAACAGGAGGCGCAGCGAAAAUUUGAAUUUUGUUUUCUAUAUAUACUUAUUCAUUGACUGAUUGGUCAUCAUUUUGAAUCAUGAAGCUUCCUCUGCUGCUGCUCUGCUCUGUGCUGCUGCUCUCCAUCUCAGGUCUGUCUCUUUUUAAAGGUUUAUUUAUCACAUGUUUAAGCUACAGAGUCAAAACUCUUUACUGGCCAAAGUACCAACUUGAAGAGCUCCAAACUGAUUGAACCUCAAACUGACCACAGUUACUCUGCUGUCACUGUGAUGAUUAAUCUUGGAACAGAGCUCAGAUUAAAGGCCAGUGGAAAAAAGUUUUUUGGACUUUAGGAUUCAUUAAGGGAAUUAUUCAUUCAUGGACAUGUUGAUUUAUGAUGAAUAGAGUGUAAACACAGAUUAGUGUGUUUAUUUUUGUUUGCUUUAACAUGUUUUUUGUUUUUUUACAGACAGACUGUGACAUUAAUGUGUUAACUAUGAACUGUUUCUGACUAUGAUCUAAGUAUGCAUUACUGAACUCCAUUAAUCAGGACUGAAAUUCUAUCUUCAUAAGGGAAAAGGCUGUGAGAUGAAAUAGUUCCUCUUUCACAGGUUGUCAACCUCACUUCAGGUCCUUUUUACAGAGACAGAAAAGAUGCAGAGUGAUGAUCUGCUGGGUCACAUUUCUGAGCCAAACACUGUGACAUCUUCCCAUUGUUCUCUAAUGAAUGUGUUUGUGUGUCUUCAGAGAUACGGACUGAUAUUAGAUUGUUUUUUUAUCCAGUUUUCUCAUAGAGGAGGCUUUGGUUUUUUCUCUCAGUCCAUGUGACCGUUUUACAGCAAUAAAACAUAGCUUUAAGCUCCACCACAGUGAGCAAUAAUCAUUGGAGGACAGUAAAGAAUUGUAUUUAGUCUCCUCAAAGAAUAAUACUACAGCGAAUACUCAAAAAUGGACUUUGCCAUGACCGACAUUAACACACAACAGGUGGAUAUUUUUUCCCACCUUAUUGUUCACAGGUUGUAACCUUAGAACCUUGCUUCUCUUCACACACCUGACUGUUGUCUACUGUAUUAUUUAGAAAAUUAAAAAAAUUAGACCGGUCCCUUUUAAAGCUUUAAAUCUCUUCUCUGACAGAAAAGCCACACCUGCCACAUUCAUCUACAGAUUAUUACUGAGAUAGGAGUCACUCUCUGUUCAAUUGAAUCUCAUGUGUAAUGUGUGUACGUGCAUGCGUGCAUUUGUGUGUGUGUGUGUGUGUGUGUGUGUGUAGUCCUGUCUCAGGAAAAUGAGGGUCCAGCUGACGGACAAGGAGACUGUGCUGAACCCUGGGCGGUAAGACUCAGAAACACACACAUUAACACACUAAUACUCAUGCAGAGCUCAGAGGAGUGGUGUGUUUCCGUUGAUGUUAAGUUGUAAACAUGAUUUUGUCACUUCUAAACCUUCUGGGGUGAAUUUACCAAGAACAGAGUGGAGUUGCCUUUUGUACCAUGAGUUGUGCAUCAUUUGUGUAGGGGAAUCUCUUCAUACAUUUAGGUUAAGAAAUAUAGAGUAAUUAUCUUUUAGUAAGAAGCUACAAAUAAUCUAGGUUGGCCUGCUCCUGCAGCCCCACGACCAUGAGAUUGUAAGCAAGGCUGUCUUGCAGGAGCCCGAACUAUCUGUCUGUUGGAACAUUUAAUCUCUGCCAGGGUCAAGACGAACCUAAACAAAGUGUCGUGGGGCAGACAUGUCAUCAUGAGGGGCCUUCUGGAGAAUUCACAUACACACACACACACACACACACACACACACACACACACACACACACACACACACACACACACACACACACACACACAGGAUAAAAGGGAGUAGAAGAAAAGCUAGGGAGGCUUCCUUCGGUCUUGGUCGAGACUCUGUUUGUCAUCUGUACCGAUUUCUACAUCUGUACUAUUAAAGACGCCCCAGGCUGUUCUUCAGAUCUCAUCCUGUCUCCUGUGCACUGUUUUACUAAGUUUAUGCUGGACUUUCUACAACAUUUGCCUCUGCUCUGAGCUCCAUCUCCACCACUCAUGUACAUUUGUGUAGUAAUUAAAGGCUACAAAUUUAUUGAUGAGAUGUGUGUGUGUGUUUUUGCAUGUGUGUGUGCGUGUGUGUUUUAUCCAGGCCCGUUGUGAGAAAUACAACUUACCUAUCUGCCAUCGGGAUCUUAACCCUGUUUGUGGUGAUGAUGGGGAAACCUACAGUAACGAGUGUACACUCUGUUUUCGCAACUUGUAAGAUGUGCGCACACACACGCACGCACACACACACACACACACACACACACACACACACACACACACACACACACACACACACACACACACACACACACAAAUCUGCUCUUUCAAUCCUUUCUACCUGUUAAGGUAAUUCGUGGAGACAGUUGAUUACUGGACAGCUGACCAGUAACUUCUGCUCUGAGAUCAAUCUGAUGUUUUCAUCCAUUGUCUGUGCUCUUACUGAGCUCAGAUCAAUGGAUGGCUUAGUUUGAGCAGAGAGAGCAGUGUGUUGUUAGCAUGCAGAUGGAUCACGAUGGCUGCAUCAUUGAGUUUAAAGAGAUUUUAGGGUGAACAGGUUGUAUUUCUGUGAGUUGGGCUCUUUUAUGCUCUAGUGAGACUUUAUGAGAUUCUGGAUACAUGAUUUUGGCCAGUAUGCAGUAUGUCUCCAGAAAAUAAAAACAGGCUGAGAGAGGAACCCUGAGGAACACCAUACUGAGGUUUAUCAGAGAGACAGAAAAACUCCUGUCAGAGAUAUAUUUACAGUCUAUAGCUCCCACACUCUGAUUUCUCAAAGACUAGUUUUACAAUAUUCGUAUUAACUCCACACACACAUUUCAAAUGUAAAAACUAACUCCUUGAAUAUUCUGUUUUUUUUUGUUUUGUUUUUGUUUUUCUACAGGGAGAAUCACGCCACUGUGAAAAUUCUGAGAGAAGGGAAAUGCGAUUAACUGCUGUGUGCCACACACAUGCACACACAUACUGAAUAAAGUCUCAUACUGAUUCCCUCACACCCUCUGUCUGUGUGUUUAUUUCACUUGAACUCUGAAGAUAAAGCAGACUCUGAAACACUAAUCUCCAUGUUUGGAGCUCGACCACCUACCUCAUGUUUUUGCCUGUUCAGACCCAACAGUAAAUUAAUGAAUAACUCUGAGAAACAACAAAACACUGCGCUGUUAGGAUAAAAUAUUACCUUACACCCACAAACAUUUUACAUAACAAAACAACAAAUGUUAACAAAAUCUGUAUUGGAAAACACGCAAAGAAUAAAGAAAAUAUUAAAAUGUUUAAGAAAAACAAAAACUUUUUGAAAACAAAAAUAUUUUGGAAACAGAUAUUUUCAAAACACAAGGGAACUUUGAUAAAGGAAAAAAUAUUAUAAAACCAUUAAAAUUGUUUAUAAAAUGCAAAUUUUGGAACCAUGAAAAUAUUUUGAAAACACAAAUAAAUUUGUAAAUACAAAAAUAUUUUAAAAAACAAAAAUAGUUAUGAGAAAACACUAUAAUACUUAAGAGUAUAAAAAAAAUUUAUCUUACCUAAAAAUGUUCUGCUCUCAAAAUGUUUUGCUGCCAAAGGGGUAGGGGUAGGGCCAAACCACUUGAUUGUGAUGGGACAAAAUUGAGGUGCUGAAGUAUUUAACAUUUUUGUAUUUUCAAAAUAUAUUUGCUUUUUUAAUUAUUAUUCCUUUUUUUUGCUGAGAUCUGUGCCUUAGCAGUGAAGGAUCAAAACGCUCAUGAAUCAGUCUGCCAAAGGGGAUCAGGUCUGCUUGGGAACUCAUCUCUUAAAUUUUCCUGAACACUUUUAUUUGUGAGUCAGUCCUGAUCUUGCACAAUAUUGGGGUCUAUCAAAUUUAUCUCCUACAGUUCUGUUGUAUUUUGCUGUCUGCGUUGUGCACUGUGUAUGGGAUUUUGAUGGUCUAUUAAGUGAAGUUUAUCAUUAUAUAUAAUAAUCAGAAGGAUAUUAGUGUUAGAUUUAAAAAAAACGGAUUCCCGAUGACGAAUUUCAGUACUCUGAUCAGACGCAACGGUCGUUGUAACCACUAGGGGGCACUGCUGCACAGGAAACUCCGUAAGUCUUAAUAUACAAGCAUGUAGUUCCUGCUGCGGGCCAACAGGAGGCGCAGCGAAAAUUUGAAUUUUGUUUUCUAUAUAUACUUAUUCAUUGACUGAUUGGUCAUCAUUUUGAAUCAUGAAGCUUCCUCUGCUGCUGCUCUGCUCUGUGCUGCUGCUCUCCAUCUCAGGUCUGUCUCUUUUUAAAGGUUUAUUUAUCACAUGUUUAAGCUACAGAGUCAAAACUCUUUACUGGCCAAAGUACCAACUUGUAAAACUCUAAACUGAUUGAACCUCAAACUGACCACAGUUACUCUGCUGUCACUGUGAUGAUUAAUCUUGGAACAGAGCUCAGAUUAAAGGCCAGUGGAAAAAAGUUUUUUGGACUUUAGGAUUCAUUAAGGGAAUUAUUCAUUCAUGGACAUGUUGAUUUAUGAUGAAUAGAGUGUAAACACAGAUUAGUGUGUUUAUUUUUGUUUGCUUUAACAUGUUUUUUUGUUUUUUACAGACAGACUGUGACAUUAAUGUGUUAACUAUGAACUGUUUCUGACUAUGAUCUAAGUAUGCAUUACUGAACUCCAUUAAUCAGGACUGAAAUUCUAUCUUCAUAAGGGAAAAGGUUGUGAGAUGAAAUAGUUCCUCUUUCACAGGGUGUCAACCUCACUUCAGGUCCUUUUUACAGAGACAGAAAAGAUGCAGAGUGAUGAUCUGCUGGGUCACAUUUCUCUGAGCUAAACACUGUGACAUCUUCCCAUUGUUCUCUAACGAAUGUGUUUGUGUGUCUUCAGAGAUACGGACUGAUAUUAGAUUAUUUUUUAUCCAGUUUUCUCAUAGAGGAGGCUGUGGUUUUUUCUCUCAGUCCAUGUGACCGUUUUACAGCAAUAAAACAUAAAUUUAUGCUCCACCACAGUGAGCAAUAAUCAUUGGAGGACAGUAAAGAAUUGUAAUAAGUCUCCUCAAAGAAUAAUACUCCAGCGAAUACUCAAAAAUGGGACUUGGCCAUGACCGACAUUAACACACAACAGGUGGAUAUUUUUUCCCACCUUAUUGUUCACAGCUUGUAACCUUAGAGCCUUGCUUCUCUUCACACACCUGACUGUUGUCUACUGUAUUAUUUAGAAAAUUAAAAAAAUUAGACCGGUCCCUUUUAAAGCUUUAAAUCUCUUCUCUGACAGAAAAGCCACACCUGCCACAUUCAUCUAAAGAUUAUUACUGAGAUAGGAGUCACUCUCUGUUCAAUUGAAUCUCAUGUGUAAUGUGUAUACGUGCAUGCGUGCAUUUGUGUGUGUGUGUGUGUGUGUGUGUGUGUAGUCCUGUCUCAGGAAAAUGAGGGUCCAGCUGACGGACAAGGAGACUGUGCUGAACCCUGGGCGGUAAGACUCAGAAACACACACAUUAACACACUAAUACUCAUGCAGAGCUCAGAGGAGUGGUGUGUUUCCGUUGAUGUUAAGUUGUAAACAUGAUUCCGUCACUUCUAAACCUUCUGGGGUGAAUUCACCAAGAACAGAGUGGAGUUGCCUUUUGUACCAUGAGUUGUGCAUCAUUUGCCUCUGCUCUGAGCUCCAUCUCCACCACUCAUGUACAUUUGUGUAGUAAUUAAAGGCUACAAAUUUAUUGAUGAGAUGCGUGUGUGUGUGUUUUUGCGUGUGUUUUUGUGUGUGCGUGUGUGUUUUAUCCAGGCCCAUUGUGAGAAAUACGACUUACCUUACUGCUUUAAGGUUUAUAACCCUGUUUGCGGUGAUGAUGGCGUAACCUACAGUAACGAGUGUACACUCUGUUUUCACAACUUGUAAGAUGUGCACACACACACACACACGCACGCACGCACAACCACACACACACACACACACACACACACACACACACACACACACACACACACACACACACACACACACACACACACACAAAUCUGCUCUUUCAAUCCUUUUCUACCUGUUAAGGUAAUUCGUGGAGACAGUUGAUUACUGGACAGCUGACCAGUAACUUCUGCUCUUAGAUCAAUCUGAUGUUUUCAUCCAUUGUCUGUGCUCUUACUGAGCUCAGAUCAAUGGAUAGCUUAGUUUGAGCAGAGAGAGCAGUGUGUUGUUAGCAUGCAGAUGGAUCAUGAUGGCUGCAUCAUUGAGUUUAAAGAGAUUUUAGGGUGAACAGGUUGUAUUUCUGUGAGUUGGGCUCUUUUAUGCUCUAGUGAGACUGUGAGAUUCUGGAUACAUGAUUUUGGCCAGUAUGCAGUAUGUCUCCAGAAAAUAAAAAGAGGCUGAGAGAGGAACCCUGAAGAACACCAUACUGAGGUUUAUCAGAGAGACAGAAAAACUCCUGUCAGAGAUAUAUUUACAGUCUAUAGCUCCCACACUCUGAUUUCUCAAAGACUAUUUUUACAAUAUUCGUAUUAACUCCACACACACAUUUCAAAUGUAAAAACUAACUCCUUGAAUGUUCUGGGGGUUUUUUUGUUUGUUUUUCUACAGGGAGAAUCACGCCACUGUGAAAAUCCUGAGAGAAGGGGAAUGCGAUUAACUGCUGUGUGCCACACGCAUGCACACACAUACUGAAUAAAGUCUCAUACUGAUUCCCUCACACCCUCUGUCUGUGUGUUCAUUUCACUUGAACUCUGAAGAUAAAGCAGCGUCUGAAACACUGAUCUCCAUGUUUGGAGCUCGACCACCUACCUCAUGUUUUUACCUGUUCAGACCCAACAGUAAAUUAAUGAAUAACUCUGAGAAACAUCAAAACACUGCGCUGUUAGGAUAAAAUAUUACCUUACACCCACAAACAUUUUACAUAACAAAACAACAAACAUUAACAAAAUCUGUAUUGGAAAACACACAAAGAAUAAAGAAAAUAUUAAAAUGUUUAAGAACAACAAAAACAUUUUGAAAACAAAAAUAGUUGGAAACAGAUAUUUUCAAAACAUAAGAGAACUUUGAUAAAGGAAAAAAUAUUGUAAAACCAUUAAAAUUGUUUAUAAAACGCAAAUCUUGGAACCAUGAAAAUAUUUUGAAAACACAAAUAAAUUUGUAAAUACAAAAAUAUAUAAAAAAAAAAAAAUAGUCAUGAGAAAAAACAAUAAUACUUAAGAGUAUAAAGAAAAAUUCUCUUACCUAAAAAUGUUCUGCUCUCAAAAUAUUUUGCUGCCAAAGGGGUAGGGGUAGGGCCAAACCACUUGAUUGUGAUGGGACAAAAUUGAGGUGCUGAAGUAUUUAACAUUUUUGUAUUUUCAAAAUAUAUUUGCUUUUUUAAUUAUUAUCACCUUUUUUUUAAUUAGUGUUGAUCUGUGGUUUAAAAAUCGGUCUGCUUUUUAUACAAAGUACUAGGGCCGAAAGUCUGUUGAUCCUGGAGAAUUCUCAGAUAUUAACCCAUUCAGACAGCACAUUUACAUGUUGUUCAAAAGUUAGGAUUUUUGCCUUAGUUGGACUGGGACUGGACCUCUGGUAUUUUGGCCUCCUGUGUGGAAUAGAUAAUUCACAAAAAUAAAGUUGAUUUAACUCUAUAGCUCCUGGAACUCACUAUGCAACAUGUACCUGCCCUCCUCAAAGCAUGUGUCAUGUCCUUUGUUGCAGCAUUUCUUAUUUCUUAAUUUCCUGUUUUUUUUGUCCUGUCAUAUGUUUUUGUGUAACUGUAGCCUAGUACUUUUGAAAAGUCAUCAGUGAAAAAAAAAAGGUGCAUCCUCUCUCGGAUCAAUGUGAAAGUGCAUUUUUAAAACUGUAACAAAACAAACUCCAACCACAGUAUGAAGAAACUGAAAAGAAACAAACUAUAAAGUCAGUUGAACAGAGAAGAAGAAGACGACCUUUAUUGAUCCCCGAGGGGAAAUUCAUUGAGAUAUAUAAUAUAUAAUAUACCCCUCAGAGCAGGUGUACAUUAGUUUUACUUUAAAUACAUGCUAUAUGAUCUUUGUCUGUUUUUAAGGUUUAUAAAAUAAAGGGUGUCACAUUUAUUUAUUUACCACUAACCCUAACCAAUAACAAUGUAAUCAACAAAUUAUUAAAAGUGUUUCAUAGUUUUAUUAAAAGGUCUUUAUACCCAGCAUAAUUUAAAAUGAUUAAAUUCUGGAAGUCGUCAAGCUUCCUGUGUUUAUCUAAAGCAAUGUUUUUACAUGCAUAUCAAUCACGUUUAACAUAACUGUAAUAUAUGGUGUCAUCUCUCCUGUUUAAGCUUCUUUGAACCGGCUUUCUACUUGUUCUUCGAUUUUACUGAUGACUUUUAAAGCUCCCCAUUGCUUUUUUUCAGCUAGAACAUCUGAUAGUGCUGUUUGAGCUGACACAUACAAGAUCCAUCUGCUGAGAUCUGUGCCUUAGCAGUGAAGGAUCAAAACUCUCAUGGAUCAGUCUGCCAAAGGGGAUCAGGUCUGCUUAGUAACUCAUCUCUUAAAUUUUCCUGAACACUUUUAUUUGUGAGUCAGUCCUGAUCUUACACAAUAUUGGGGUCUAUCAAAUUUAUCUCCUACAGUUCUGUUGUAUUUUGCUGUCUGCGUUGUGCACUGUAUAUGGGAUUUUGAUGGUCUAUUAAGUGAAGUUUAUCAUUAUAUAUAUUAAUCAGAAGGAUAUUAGUGUUAGAUUUAAAAAAAAACGGAUUCCCGAUGACGAACAUCAGUACUCUGAUCAGACGCAACGGUCUUUGUAACCACUAAGGGGCACUGCUGCACAGGAAACUCCGUAAGUCUUAAUAUACAAGCAUGUAGUUCCUGCUGCGGGCCAACAGGAGGCGCAGCGAAAAUUUGAAUUUUGUUUUCUAUAUAUACUUAUUCAUUGACUGAUUGGUCAUCAUUUUGAAUCAUGAAGCUUCCUCUGCUGCUGCUCUGCUCUGUGCUGCUGCUCUCCAUCUCAGGUCUGUCUCUUUUUUAAGGUUUAUUUAUCACAUGUUUAAGCUACAGAGUCAAAACUCUUUAAUGGCCAAAGUACCAACUUGUAAAGCUCCAAACUGAUUGAACCUCAAACUGACCACAGUUACUCUGCUGUCACUGUGAUGAUUAAUCUUGGAACAGAGCUCAGAUUAAAGGCCAGUGGAAAAAAGUUUUUUGGACUUUAGGAUUCAUUAAGGGAAUUAUUCAUUCAUGGACAUGUUGAUUUAUGAUGAAUAGAGUGUAAACACAGAUUAGUGUGUUUAUUUUUGUUUGCUUUAACAUGUUUUUUGUUUUUUACAGACAGACUGUGACAUUAAUGUGUUAACUAUGAACUGUUUCUGACUAUGAUCUAAGUAUGCAUUACUGAACUCCAUUAAUCAGGACUGAAAUUCUAUCUUUAUAAGGGAAAAGGCUGUGAGAUGAAAUAGUUCCUCUUUCACAGGUUGUCAACCUCACUUCAGGUCCUUUUUACAGAGACAGAAAAGAUGCAGAGUGAUGAUCUGCUGGGUCACAUUUCUGAGCCAAACACUGUGACAUCUUCCCAUUGUUCUCUAACGAAUGUGUUUGUGUGUCUUCAGAGAUACGGACUGAUAUUAGAUUGUUUUUUUAUCCAGUUUUCUCAUAGAGGAGGCUGUGGUUUUUUCUCUCAGUCCAUGUCACCGUCUUACGGCAAUAAAACAUAGCUUUAAGCUCCACCACAGUGAGCAAUAAUCAUUGGAGGACAGUAAAGAAUUGUAUUUAGUCUCCUCAAAGAAUAAUACUACAGCGAAUACUCAAAAAUGGACUUUGCCAUGACCUACAUUAACACACAACAGGUGGAUAUUUUUUCCCACCUUAUUGUUCACAGCUUGUAACCUUAGAGCCUUGCUUCUCUUCACACACCUGACUGUUAUCUACUGUUUUAUUUAGAAAAUUAAAAAAUUAGACCGGUCCCUUUUAAAGCUUUCAAUCCCUUCUCUGACAGAAAAGCCACACCUGCCACAUUCAUCUACAGAUUAUUACUCAGAUUGGAGUCACUCUCUGUUCAACUGAAUCUGAUGUGUAAUGUGUAUACGUGCAUGCGUGCAUGUGUGUGUGUGUGUGUGUGUGUGUGUGUAGUCCUGUCUCAGGAAAAUGAGGGUCCACCUGAUGGACAAGGAGACUCUGCUGAACCCUGGGCGGUAAGACUCAGAAACACACACAUUAACACACUAAUACUCAUGCAGAGCUCAGAGGAGUGGUGUGUUUCCGUUGAUGUUAAGUUGUAAACAUGAUUUCGUCACUUCUAAACCUUCUGGGGUGAAUUUACCAAGAACAGAGUGGAGUUGCCUUUUGUACCAUGAGUUGUGCAUCAUUUGCCUCUGCUCUGAGCUCCAUCUCCACCACUCAUGUACAUUUGUGUAGUAAUUAAAGGCUACAAAUUUAUUUAUGAGAUGCGUGUGUGUGUGUGUUUUUGCGUGUGUUUUUGUGUAUGUGUUUUUGUGUUUUAUCCAGGCGCAUUGUGAGAAAUACAAAUUACCUUACUGCCAUCGGGAUUAUAACCCUGUUUGUGGUGAUGAUGGCGUAAUCUACAGUAACGAGUGUACACUCUGUUUUCACAACUUGUAAGAUGUGCACACACACACACACACACACACACGCACGCACGCACGCACGCAGGCACACACACACACACACACACACACACACACACACACACACACACACACACACACAAAUCUGCUCUUUCAAUCCUUUCUACCUGUUAAGGUAAUUCCUUGAGACAGCUGAGUUCUCAGAGUUUUUUUGUGACCACUAAUAUCUGCUCUGAGAUCAAUCUGAUGUUUUCAUCCCAUUGUCUUUGCUCUUACUGAGCUCAGAUCAAUGGAUAGCUUAGUUUGAGCAGAGAGAGCAGUGUGUUGUUAGCAUGCAGAUGGAUCACGAUGGCUGCAUCACCGAGUUUAAAGAGAUUUUAGGGUGAACAGGUUGUAUUUCUGUGAGUUGGGCUCUUUUAUGCUCUAGUGAGACUUUGUGAGAUUCUGGAUACAUGAUUUUGGCCAGUAUGCAGUAUGUCUCCAGAAAAUAAAAAGAGGCUGAGAGAGGAACCCUGAGGAACACCAUACUGAGGUUUAUCAGAGAGACAGAAAAACUCCUGUCAGAGAUAUAUUUACAGUCUAUAGCUCCCACACUCUGAUUUCUCAGACUAGUUUUAUAAUAUUCGUAUUAACUCCACACACACAUUUCAAAUGUAAAAACUAACUCCUUGAAUAUUGUUCAAGAUUUUUUUUUUGUUUUUCUACAGGGAGAAUCACGCCACUGUGAAAAUCCUGAGAGAAGGGAAAUGCGAUUAACUGCUGUGUGCCACACACAUGCACACACAUACUGAAUAAAGUCUCAUACUGAUUCCCUCACA
rnacentral:lncRNA from 1 species